rnacentral:rRNA from 1 species
UUACGGGAGGCAGCAGUGAGGAAUAUUGGACAAUGGGCGCAAGCCUGAUCCAGCCAUGCCGCGUGCAGGAUGACGGUCCUAUGGAUUGUAAACUGCUUUUGUACGAGAAGAAACACUCCUUCGUGAAGGAAUUUGACGGUAUCGUAAGAAUAAGGAUCGGCUAACUCCGUGCCAGCAGCCGCGGUAAUACGGAGGAUCCAAGCGUUAUCCGGAAUCAUUGGGUUUAAAGGGUCCGUAGGCGGUUUAGUAAGUCAGUGGUGAAAGCCCAUCGCUCAACGGUGGAACGGCCAUUGAUACUGCUGAACUUGAAUUAUUAGGAAGUAACUAGAAUAUGUAGUGUAGCGGUGAAAUGCUUAGAGAUUACAUGGAAUACCAAUUGCGAAGGCAGGUUACUACUAAUUGAUUGACGCUGAUGGACGAAAGCGUGGGGAGCGAACAGGAUUAGAUACCCGGGUAGUCCC